GAUGAACGCUGGCGGUAUGCUUAACACAUGCAAGUCGAACGGACUCUUCGGAGUUAGUGGCGGCCGGGUGAGAAACGCGUGAUAAUCUGGCUUUGGGUUCGGGACCACCACUGGAAACGGUGGCUAAUACCGGGUGUGCCGAGAGGUAAAAGAGAAAUUGCCUGAAGAUGAGCUCGCGUCUGAUUAGCUAGUUGGUGGGGUAAAGGCACACCAAGGCAGCGAUCAGUAGCGGGUCUGAGGGGAUGACCAGCCACACGGGGACUGAGACACGGCACAGACUCCCACGGGAGGGAGGAGGGGGAAAUUGUCCGAAAUGGGCGAAAGUCUGACAGAGCAAUACCGCGUGAGGGAAGAGGGCUCUUGGGGUGUAAACCUCUUUUCAUAGAGAAGAACAAAAUGACGGUACCUAAGGAAGAAGCAUCGGCUAACUACGUG
rnacentral:rRNA from 1 species